CCUACGGGUGGCUGCAGUGGGGAAUAUUGGGCAAUGGGCGCAAGCCUGACCCAGCAACGCCGCGUGAAGGAAGAAGGCUUUCGGGUUGUAAACUUCUUUUCUCAGGGACGAAGCAAGUGACGGUACCUGAGGAAUAAGCCACGGCUAACUACGUGCCAGCAGCCCCGGGAAUCCGUAGGCGGCAAGCGUUAUCCGGAUUUAAUGGGUGUAAAGGGUGUGUAGGCGGGACUGGCAGUCAGAUGGGAAAACCAUGGGCUCAACCUAUGGCCUGCAUUUGAAACUGUAGUUCUUGAGUACUGGAGAGGCAGACGGAAUGCCUGGUGUAGCGGUGAAAUGCGUAGAUAUUAGGAGGAACACCAGUGGCGAAGGCAGUCUGCUGGACAGCAACUGACGCUGAGGCGCGAAAGCGUGGGGAGCAAACAGGAUUAGAUACCCUAGUAGUC
rnacentral:rRNA from 1 species